AGGACAAACAAAUAAAUAGGUCCUGUACAGCCCAUCAAAACAAAAGGCUGCUAUUACCCCUAGAAGACAAACCAUUCAUAUUUCAACUUGGGUUAUGUAUACAAGACAUUUUUCUAUGUACUCAUACAAUUGC